AAAUAGAUACCCCAGGUAGUCCACGCCGUAAACGAUGAGUGCUAAGUGUUAGAGGGUUUCCGCCCUUUAGUGCUGCAGCUAACGCAUUAAGCACUCCGCCUGGGGGAGUACGGCCGCAAGGCUGAAACUCAAAGGAAUUGACGGGGGCCCGCACAAGCGGUGGAGCAUGUGGUUUAAUUCGAAGCAACGCGAAGAACCUUACCAGGUCUUGACAUCCCCUGACAACCCUAGAGAUAGGGCUUUCCCCUUCGGGAGACAGAGUGACAGGUGGUGCAUGGUUGUCGUCAGCUCGUGUCGUGAGAUGUUGGGUUAAGUCCCGCAACGAGCGCAACCCUUGAUCUUAGUUGCCAGCAUUCAGUUGGGCACUCUAAGGUGACUGCCGGUGACAAACCGGAGGAAGGUGGGGAUGACGUCAAAUCAUCAUGCCCCUUAUGACCUGGGCUACACACGUGCUACAAUGGAUGGUACAAAGGGCUGCAAACCUGCGAAGGUAAGCGAAUCCAUAAAGCCAUUCUCAGUUCGGAUUGCAGG
rnacentral:rRNA from 1 species